CUUUUGGCCAUUUGAGAAUUUUUAACUCCUCAUUUUCCUUUUCAAAAGAGAUUUUUGCCUUCUCAAUAUUUUCAAAAUUUUCAUUAUGCUCAUUGAGCUCAUUUUGAAGACAAGAAUUCUUUUUCUUGAGAGAAAUAUUUUUGAAAACAAGUUUUUCAAGAUCAAAAUAUAUUUCUUGAAGUGCAUCUUGAAAUUCAAAAUGGUUGGAGUUGGAGUUUACCUCAUC
rnacentral:lncRNA from 1 species